rnacentral:rRNA from 1 species
GACGAACGCUGGCGGCGUGCUUAACACAUGCAAGUCGAACGAAGUGGCGAACGGGUGAGUAACGCGUAAUCAACCUGCCCUUCAGAGGGGGACAACCGUUGGAAACGACUGCUAAUACCGCAUACUGAAUGAGGGGUUUGCGUUUGAUUAGCUAGUUGGAGGGGUAACGGCCCACCAAGGCGAUGAUCAGUAGCCGGUCUGGGAGGAUGAACGGCCAAAUUGGGACUGGGACACGGCCCAGACUCCUACGGGAGGCAGCAGUGGGGAAUCAUCCGCAAUGGACGAAAGUCUGACGGAGCAACGCCGCGUGAGUGAUGACGGCCUUCGGGUUGUAAAGCUCUGUUAAUCGGGACGCGGUACCGGAAUAGAAAGCCACGGCUAACUACGUGCCAGCAGCCGCGGUAAUUC